UUUUUUACAUGAUCUAUUAAGUUAUGCAAUAUUACAUAAAAGUGGUGUCUAGAAAGUAAUUUCAUUUUCAAAUAAUAAUAUUUAAAAACACUUAUUUGUCCAACCGGAUCAAAUCCAGUGUGGUGUGACAAAUAGGAUGGAAGUCAUUUUGGUGUUUUGUGAUCCCCAUAGACUCUCAUGACUAUGUGUCAGGUCAUUAAAAAUCUGCAUUGACCCUUAGAUUAUAGCUAAUAGACAAGAUAAGCAUUGCGAAAAUUUGGCUGAGCUGAAGAAAUGUUGGUUUGUAUAUUACAGCUUCCUGGUUCCCAGGUUCCAAUCACAUCAUUUGUUCAAUGGAUUUGAUUUGUAUCAGAUAUUAGGAGACAGAGCUCCAGUGUGUGCUGGGCUGUGCUGAGGUAAUAAGGAGUGGUGGGACAUGCAUGAGGGGUUCACUGUUCUAACUGAAGAUGAAGCUGGUAAAGACGGGACCAUAUAGCUUGGAAGACUGUUACACAGGAGCAGCUCUAUUCUACAGCACUGAGAGAAGACGCUCCACUUACACAAGUCAUGACUGUGUGGAGGUAGCCAGCGGUCAGCACCUUAAGAACAGAUAUAUCCAUGACACUCAAACUCUGUUCACUUUCUCUUUAAAUGAGGGAAAGGAAACAGACCCAAGUCUUCCAAAUUAGCUCUGCAAAUAUUUGCUGGAAUGGGGCUAGUGGUUUUGUGCCCAUUUCAAAAGCAAAUUUAACAGACAUGGUGUUUGGUGUUGAUUUAUUUUUUUAUUAUUUAUGUCUGUAAAUAUCAAAGUAUUUUAGGUUUGUUGGUUGGUAUGUCCUCAUUUGGAACAAGGAGUAAAAGAGUGUAAUUGAGUGGAUGAGGAAAACACUCUUUCAAUCAAACUCACUCUCAUUUUGACCAUUUGGUACAGGUCAGUGUGAAACUGUGUGGUGAUUUUACCCAUCCCUCAUUCUUACCAUAAUGGCCAAUUGUUCCUCUAAACAAUCAUUAAAGUCUUUUAUUUUCUAUUUAUGUUGAACUCUUGUUUUCUACAUUAACUGGACCAAUCCAUCCGUUCUCCAAACCUCUUGACAGAAGUAGGAUCACAGGAAAUCCAACAAGCCAGUACAUCAGAGGGCUAACACAAAUAGACAUACAAAUAUUAAUUCACAUCUAUUGGCAUUUUUGGCUCUGUAAUUCACCUGCAUCUCUUUGGAUUGUGGGGAAAACUGGAGCAGCCAGAGGAAAUCGAUGCCAACACAGAUAAAACAUGCAAACUCCCCACAGAAAGGCCUCAUUGCUCAGCAGGGAGUCCCAGGCUGUGUGGCGACAGUACUACCCAAUGAGCCACCAUGCCGCCCUGUAUCUGGACCAUUAAUCUAAAUAUAUUCUUGGCAUGAAAUAAGCACUUCAUGAAUUACAGUCACUAGAGUCUUGAAGAACCCUUGCCAAACUCUCCUCUAAACUUGGUGACUUACUUCCAUUAGCUCACCUUCCACAGAUUUAAUUUACAGGUACUGUAAAGUCCUCAUGGAAACCAGGUAUGUGUGAGCAAUUCCAGCAUGCAUAAAUGGAAUGCAACUUGUUUUUACAUUUUUGCAUCUUGACUCUGAAAGAUCACAGAGACACAAUUACAGAGUGUGUGGAUCCCACUGAGCAUGUCCUUUUCCCUUUGAUGGAUGUAAAUAAAGACAUGGCUCCUUGCAGGCCUGCCUAUUGAACUUGGCUGUUGACAAUGCCUCAGAAGUGGUCAGAUCCAGUCAGAAAUCCCUCCUGCCCUCAAGAAAAGAGCCCACGUCCUUAAAGGCAACACAGUAGUGGCUGUUCCCUGUCAACCGGGCAAUGGCAGUGGUUCAGUCACCAACCCAGGCUCUUUUAGUGAGAGUCCAUUGAUGUAGCAGAGUUAUUAAUUUGCCCUGUGAAAUAAGAGGACACCCGGGCCAAAACAGAGGGAGAUGGGUGCCUUUCAAAUAAUGCCAGCCAGGGAGCCUUUCAUCUGCUGUCAUUGGGGUGGUGCUUGAAGAAACACAGAGGAAGAGGACAGAAGGGAUAGAGAAGGGAGAGGGAGACUAUUGCGCAAUAACGCAAGUGAAGAAAACACCGAACAGAUCCUGCGUGUCCAUGUUGUACGGGUUUGUCUCGUGAUCUACUGGGGAUGCCACUGUCACCCCGGCUGUGGCAAGCUGCUGUGGUGCUGCUUCAAGCUUCAAAGACUGUAGUCGUGCCCGCAGCCCUAAUUAGAGGGUGCUUGCUUGGAGCUGGGGAUAAGCUAGCGGAACGUAUGCGCAAGUGCACACACUAUGCUUCAGUAGCAGUAUGCUGACAUGGAUGAAGGGAAGGGAUAGCAUCCUACUCUCAUCUAUCUCAUAAUAGUCUCUCUUUCUAUCUGUUUGUAUCUCUUUCUUUCAAUCCAUGGCACAGGCCUGGAAGGAAACCAUUAGUGCUGUAGAUGUAGCCUAUCUGCGACUGUAGCUAUAGGGAGUCUGGGCCUCCUGUCUGUAUAUUUCUCUAGGCCCCUGACCUUUUUUAAGAUAAGCUUGGACGAAGAUGUGUUAUAUGUGCUAUAUGCGAAUGAUUUGAAAAAAAAAAAAAAUUAAAUGUAAAUGACCCAAAAUAAAAUCUUGCUUGAGUAAUUUUCCAAUUCUACCAAUAUUAAAAUAAACUUUCUUAAAAAGUAAUUUGGUUUUGCGUUGUGUUUCUACAUUGCUUCUGUUUUCAGUCUCCUUCCUUUCUUGUCUUUUAUGGUGAGCAGAUUUUUGUGUUUUUUACUGACAGUAUGACUCAAUCGGCAUAUAAAACUUCUCACCUCUCGCCUUGAUUUUUUUUUUUCUUAUAUUGUGGCUUUAAAUUAAUUAUUUUACUGGAUCCUAAAAUAAUUUUUUUUGGUAAUAAUGUGGAUCUCCUUGGAUCUGUGGGCCGCUAGAAUCAUUCCCACAUUUCAAGGAUAUAGUUAGUUUGUGGUUAAAAAUACCUGGUUAUUUCCUUAGUGUAAUGAUUUAGUAGACACCAGAGGAUUACUGCAACAUCCUUUCAUCAUUCCACAACUCUUAGCCAUUAGUACACACUGUGACGAUGAAUCAGUUCAUUAUCACGGCCACAUCUCCUCCUGGACUGUUAAAUGCUGCUUAUGAUCGGCACAGCAACAUAGUGGUCCUUUUUUGCUAAUUUUAACCUCCUCCCUGUCUGUCUUCAGGUCCCCUCACAUUCCCUGUCUCACCUAUAUAGGGAGGGAGACCCACAGGCCUGCAGUACAGCUAAUCCAACCAUAGAAACACCCUUCCUGGACAAAAUAUACUUCAGAGAAGUGUAAAGAAGAGGAAAAAGUUAAAAGCAUUAUAAGAGAACAUGACAAGAAGACUAAACAAGAGACUGAACAAAAGGGGAAAAGAGUGAGAGAAGAGAUAAACAGAAAUAACCUGACACUCAAAAGGAUAAACUGAGUGAACUAUUCCACAACACAGUAACAUUCGAGUCUAUGAAUGCACAUGGAAAGGUCUGGAGAUGAAAGGUAUAGCCUGGGUGAGACUGAUCAGUGAUGUUAUAUGAGCGAGAGCCAGAGUCACUUGCAUCGCUCAUCACUCCGGCCCAAAAGUGCACAUUCCCACAUCCCAGUGCACCACUUUAAAGAGUGUCCCGGCUGCUCUGGUUCGCCACUCCCUGACGAACUGCAACUCUGAAACGGCAAAUAUCAAUACAUUCAUUAUGCACUUUAUAUUUAUACAUUUAUAUUCAUGCUUUUAUAUAAUCCUUGUAUUUUGCUGCUAAUAGUAUUUUUAGAGAGGAGAUGCAAGGCCGCACUAGACUGGCAGAGAGACUGAAUGUUUGUCGAGUGGGUAUGCAAGACAGACAGAGAGAGAGCGAUUUGGCCGGCUGUGGUUUUUAAAGGGCAAAAGCAAUGGGCGCCCUGGUCAGUUCAGAGCACAGCUGUGUAGGAAAGAAACAGCCUCGAUCCAACCCAGCUGUGGCUGCUGGUGUGCUGCUGGCACGAGGCAUAUUAACCCAUCUGUAACAACCAAUGAGCUUUUCACACCGUUUAAAAACUAACCAACUAAUGGCUGGAAUGGCAUGAGAUAUUUGUCAGCUGAGAGUAAAAGGAAUACAAAAAGGCUUUGGCGAAUAAAUAAUGUGGCUUUAGAGCCAAUCAACUGGUUAACCUUAUGAUGGAAUAGUUCACCCAACAAUGAAAAUUUGCUGUUAAUUUACUCACCUUCACGCCAUCCGACUGCGUGAACUAUGCCUGAACCAGAAACUGAACCAUAAUAUAUGACUACAUCGAUUCAAGAGCAAAAAUCAAUUAUAAUAAAUCAUAAAAUGGCGCCGUGCGUAGUUGCCUCAGUUUGUAGCCCCUUGGUACUUUUACUAUUUUGUUUGCUUGUCCUGUUUUAACUAACUUUUUUUCCUAUCCGCUUGACUAUGGACCAACUCCUAAA